GUGGGGAAUAUUGCACAAUGGGCGCAAGCCUGAUGCAGCCAUGCCGCGUGUGUGAAGAAGGCCUUCGGGUUGUAAAGCACUUUCAGCGGGGAGGAAGGCGGUGAGGUUAAUAACCUCACCGAUUGACGUUACCCGCAGAAGAAGCACCGGCUAACUCCGUGCCAGCAGCCGCGGUAAUACGGAGGGUGCAAGCGUUAAUCGGAAUUACUGGGCGUAAAGCGCACGCAGGCGGUCUGUCAAGUCGGAUGUGAAAUCCCCGGGCUCAACCUGGGAACUGCAUUCGAAACUGGCAGGCUAGAGUCUUGUAGAGGUGGGUAGAAUUCCAGGUGUAGCGGUGAAAUGCGUAGAGAUCUGGAGGAAUACCGGUGGCGAAGGCGGCCCCCUGGACAAAGACUGACGCUCAGGUGCGAAAGCGUGGGGAGCAAACAGGAUUAGAAACCCGUGUAGUCC
rnacentral:rRNA from 1 species